GAUGAACGCUGGCGGCGUGCCUAAUACAUGCAAGUCGAGCGAACGGACGAGAAGCUUGCUUCUCUGAUGUUAGCGGCGGACGGGUGAGUAACACGUGGAUAACCUACCUAUAAGACUGGGAUAACUUCGGGAAACCGGAGCUAAUACCGGAUAAUAUUUUGAACCGCAUGGUUCAAAAGUGAAAGACGGUCUUGCUGUCACUUAUAGAUGGAUCCGCGCUGCAUUAGCCAGUUGGUAAGGUAACGGCUUACCAAGGCAACGAUGCAUAGCCGACCUGAGAGGGUGAUCGGCCACACUGGAACUGAGACACGGUCCAGACUCCUACGGGAGGCAGCAGUAGGGAAUCCUCCGCAAUGGGCGAAAGCCUGACGGAGCAACGCCGCGUGAGUGAUGAAGGUCUUCGGAUCGUAAAACUCUGUUAUUAGGGAAGAACAUAUGUGUAAGUAACUGUGCACAUCUUGACGGUACCUAAUCAGAAAGCCACGGCUAACUACGUG
rnacentral:rRNA from 1 species